GACGAACGCUGGCGGCGCGCUUAACACAUGCAAGUCGAGCGGUAAGGCCCUUUCGGGGGUACACGAGCGGCGAACGGGUGAGUAACACGUGGGUGACCUGCCCUCAGCUCUGGGAUAAGCCUGGGAAACCGGGUCUAAUACUGGAUAUGACUCCAUGACGCAUGUUGUGGGGUGGAAAGCCUUGUGCGGCUGAGGAUGGGCCCGCGGCCUAUCAGCUUGUUGGUGGGGUGAUGGCCUACCAAGGCGACGACGGGUAGCCGGCCUGAGAGGGCGACCGGCCACACUGGGACUGAGACACGGCCCAGACUCCUACGGGAGGCAGCAGUGGGGAAUCUUGCGCAAUGGGCGAAAGCCUGACGCAGCGACGCCGCGUGAGGGAUGACGGCCUCGGCGU
rnacentral:rRNA from 1 species